AUUAAAAAUUAAUACUUGUUUUACUAUAAUCUUGACUUUUAUUAUGAAAAAUUACACUUUUUAUAUCUGCCUUCACACUGCUGGUUAACGCGAGAGGUGUGUGCGGGUGCUCCAAUGGCAAUUAUUAACACUGAAAAUAUUCGUAGUACAAUUUGGAUUGCCCUCAAGAGGCUUGAUCUCAACGAUGACAGGGUCACGGCCCUUCGGGAGGUUCACAUUCCAAGUGGGGCCAAAGUAACCACCAUAAGACAAAUACUAGCUCAUACUUUCAGGCUGGACACUUCUCAGAUAACACUUAAGAUGCGAAACAAUCGAGGAUCUCUAAUUCCAAUAAACUGCUGCAUGCUGCCAAACAGCAAGCAAAUGCCGUACGUCCUUGAAGUGGCUAAAAACUACCAGCAUGUCAACCCAAGACCCAGAAGUAUUCCCAUGACUGUUUUUAAUAAAACCUUGAAGUCGAGACUACAGAGCAUUGUGAAACAGAUUGAAAGAUUAGAAGAGCUGUUGCCUCAAAUCAAGCUAAAACACCAUGAAAAGAUGACAAAGGAUAUUGAGUUACUGAAUCAAAAGCUGGUAUUUCUUCACAAACGAAUGCAGACGGCCGAGUCCUAUUCCUGGGAGGGGAUGCUGAGAAGAGCUCCACUGUGGUGAAGGAUGCUUACAGUUCAGUCUGACUCAACUCAAUAAUAAGCACUGUCUAACAAGACCAAUAACAUCUUAGAGUACAGUCUGUUGGUUCUUCUGUUUUUGAUUAAAUCUAUAGAGAAUAUGAAUGAACUUUCUGGAGUUGUAUAAGUAUUUCAUCAUGUAUUUGAUCUGUUUUUCAAUAUCAACUGACCUCAAAAAUACAUGAACACAAUCUGACUUAUAAAUGACUUGUAAAAUA